rnacentral:lncRNA from 1 species
UUUCCCUGGACCCUCGCCUCUUUACAAAUUACAGAAAGCCUAGAGUCCCAAGACCUCUUAUGUCUAUAUGUACUUGUGUCCUGGCAGUUGCCCCGAGUUGCGUUUCUUCUGGAAGGCAACAAAUGGCAGUAGGGCAGAUUCCAGGUUCUCAGGCUGAGAAGAAUACACUGUCCAGAACUCCAGAGACCGAGGACAACCCUGGAAAGGAAAGCAUCAUCUGGAUCCAUGUCUUUUUAUGUGGCGUCAGCUCAGCCCAGUAUCAUGACAGGCGGAGGCCUCAAGGGGGCAGUGUCUGCCCAGAGAUGCUCCCAAAUCUGGGGGUGGGGGGGUUGGGGGGUAGCAAUCCCUAGGAAGGCCUUGGUGGGAUGGUCUGGGCCUGCUGAGCCACUGGCUAGAGACAAGAUCCUCAACACACCCCACACAGAAGUGGGGUUCUCUCUGGCAGUACCCCUUCCAGGAGGCCGGAGUGACCCCAGCUCCCACCACAGAUGGGAGGAGAAAAAAGAACAUUUGUGAUUCAUGGGAAGAGGUCGAAAUAUGAACAUUAAUGGGAAUUUGGAAGAAGUUGAUUCCAACCCUCAUGGAUGGCAUUGAGGGGUCAAAACUAUAGUGGAGGAAGCCACUGGAGAUGAGGUGGAAUAGCAAGGGAACAACAAUUAGAAGUGAAGACUGAAAAAUGGGACUGACUUGCUGCAAUCUCAUGAUAAAACUUGAACAGAUGAGGAGGUGCUUCUUACGAAUGAGCAAAGAAAGUGAUUUUUUGAGAUGGAAUCUACUUUUGGUGAAGAUGCUAUGAAGAUUGUUGAAAUGUUUUAGAAUGCCACAUAAAUGUAAUUGAUAAAUCAGCAGCAGGGUUUGAGAAGACUGGCUCCAAUUUUGUAUUUUGGGGUUUUUAAAAUUUUAAGUGAAUAUAUAGUGCAAUAUUGGUUUCUGGAGUAGACUUCACUGAUUCAUUACCUACAUAUAACAACCAGUGCUCAUCACAAGUGCUCUCCUUAAUACCCAACCCCCAUCUAGCACAUCCCCCACCCACCUCCCUCCUCAGACCUUCAGUUUGUUCUCUAUCAUUAAGAGUCACUUAUGGGGACACCUGGGUGGAUCAGUGGUUGAGCAUCUGCCUUCAGCUUGGGUUGUGAUCCCAGGGUCCUGGGAUUGAGUCCAACAUCGGGCACCCAGCAGGGACCCUGCUUCUCCUUCUGCCAAUGUCUCUGCCUCUCUCUGUGUCUCUCAGGAAUAAAUAAAAUCUUUUUUAAAAAGUCA